GACGAACGCUGGCGGCGUGCUUAACACAUGCAAGUCGAGCGGUAAGGCCCUCGGGUACACGAGCGGCGAACGGGUGAGUAACACGUGGGUGACCUGCCUCUAGCUCUGGGAUAAGCCUGGGAAACUGGGUCUAAUACCGGAUAUGACUCCACGGCGCAUGUUGUGGGGUGGAAAGCCUUGUGCGGCUAGAGAUGGGCCCGCGGCCUAUCAGCUUGUUGGUGGGGU
rnacentral:rRNA from 1 species